rnacentral:tRNA from 1 species
GCGUACUUAGCUCAGUGGUUAGAGCGUCUGCCUAGUAUUUGGAGGUCGCAGGUUCAAAUCCUGCAGUGUGCA